GCAGGAGGAAUAUGUUAGGGCGAGUUGAAGACCAGACACUGACUGGGAGCCCUCUCUGGGAAGGGGCGGAGUGCUGGCAGUGCUGUGCCCUGCAAAGCCACGGUGGCUGGAGGCUGUGCUGAGGCUCGGCCCUGUGGUGGGUCUGCAAGGCCUAGCGCAGACCCUGACGUCUGGUUUGCAUCCUCUCAAGGCGGCCUGUGCCAAGCCGCUGGUGCAGGGUGGAGGGAGGCACUGAAGAAGCCUGAAACCAGAAUGGUGAGACGGUGCCAGGAUGCAGGGCCCGGCCACGCUGACAAGCACAGCGGAGCAGAACAAAGAACCAAGCCAUGGUGGCAGAGUGUCACCCCACCCUUGUUUGCGCUCACAGGAGGUGUCCUGUGCUCGUCAGAUAGCGUGGCCCGGAUGCACGGAAAUAACAGAACUCGGCUCCCAGCUCCCCGGCCCCAUGUGUAGUGAACUUAAGGCUGAGGUCCAGCCAGGCCGGUGCCCUGGUAAAAGGAGCAGGGCCCGCCCCCACCCAUCAUCAGGCAUCUUUGUGCAAAGUGGGAAAAGGCGCCCCUUCCUCUGGGCAGCGGAACCCCACGCCCACCCUCGUUCCUGGGUCAAGCACCCCCGGUACACAUCCGGGUGCACCUCUGUGUCCCAGCCAGGUGGCUUUUUCCUCCACUUUUGGCUCCUCCCGGUGAACAAAGGCUGUGCCUAAGCCGUCUUGGCACCGGCUCUCCAGCCACUUAGAGAAGCAGGUCCGCUUCCUCGGCGCCACAUCAAAGGCAGGCCCCGGGGGAAAGCUGCAGCCCCGGGAACCUGAGGGAUCACGGGGGCCCCCAAAUCUCCAGGUUAAACCCAAGACUGAGAACCCCACUUUCCAGAUGCUUCGAGUUGAGUUUUUCAAAGCAAACCAGCUCCCGGCUAGAGAGUGGCUUUGUCCGGCUUUGGUUUUCUGCUGAUUCUGGAAAGCGAGGCAGCCAGGCCCCGGGGUCCCCACCCCUCGGGGCGCUCUGGGUCCCUCUCGGCCGGGACCGGGAGCACCUCUCUCCUCUCUCUCCUCUCUCCUCGACAGAGUUCAGAAGGAACAGCUGGCGGCCAUCUUCAAGCUCAUGAAGGACAACGAGGCGACCUUCGGGGAGAUGUCGGCCGGCGACGUGCAGGAGCAGCUCAGGCUCUACGACAUGUAGGCCGCCUCCCGCGCCGGCCCGCGCUCCGCUCCCGCAGACCCUGGCAGGCGUCCCUUGCUCCCACUCACCGAGAUGCAGAGGUACUUCCCGACCGAGCUGCUCCGUUCUUGCAGCUUCUCCACCUGCCACCUGGGUGCCCCCCCCCAAGGCCGUGCCCUGGCCGAGCCCUUCCACGCAGACCCCGGGCAGGCGGCGGCUCCAAGGCCCAGCCCCGCAGCACGCGGUGUGGAAAGGAUUCGGGGUGCUGUGGGGUCCAGUCUAAGAACACUACACCUUGUUCUUUGAAGGAUCUCUGGACGUUUGUGACUGUACAGAAGCCAGCAGUGGGGGAGCCUUCUUUUAGCCACAAGCCUGAUUCAAGGACUUUGCGUCCCAGAACGAAGCAGUGGUAUCUAAGAGUUGCUCUGCUUUAAGCAUGAGAUUUACUUCACAUAUAAUUCAGGUUUAUACGAGUGUUGAUAAUAAACCUAGGAUGGCGCUAGACACUGUCAAUAGACAUAAAAUACGCGACACAGUCCCUGCCCUGACAGGGAUUAAAGUCCUCUGGAGAAGACAGGCACGUGCGCAGGAAAAGAGGGCCCCGCCGCACAGCUUUCGCUAAAAUGCCAAGUGACCUCACGGGGAGUGUCUGGGAUACCUCAGCACUUCGAUAAAGUUCUGUGAGUCAGUGAAGGCAUGAUGACAGAAAUAAGAGUGGUUCUUCCGUGCUGCCCAGGUUCUGUUUCUUUUUUUUUAUCUUUUGGCCAUGCCUGCAGCAUGCAUGAGUUCCUGGUCCAGGGAUCAAACCCCAACCACAGCAAUGAUGAUGAUGCCAGGUUCUCAAUCAACCUAACCAGCCGAGCUCCCCAGGUUCUGAUUCUUUUUUUUUUUUUUUCUUUUUAGGGCCGCACCCGUGGCAUAUGGAGGUUCCCAGGCUCGGGGUCGAAUGGGAGCUGUAGCUGCCGGCCUCUACCACAGCCACAGCCACACAAGUUCCGAGCUGCAUCUGCGACCUGCACCACAGCUCACAGCAACACCAGACCCUUGACCCACUGAUUGAGGCCAGGGAUCAAACCCUGGUCUUCAUGGAUGCCAGUCAGGUUGGUUAUCGCUGAGCCACAAUGGGAACUCCCCCAGGUCCUAUUCUGAUCACCCCACUGACAGAAAAAUACCAUAGCCAACCGAGUUAAGGAGGGUAUGCUAAAGGGAUAACCUAAGAAAGUUCCUGAAAGUACUUAUUUGCUGAAAUGAAACUAAACACACUAAAAAGCAGCAGUGGCAUUUUACAUACCUCAAGCUAACAACUGCCAUGGGGGGGCGGGGCAGUGAACCUUCUUUUAGCAUCUCUUGCUUGUUUGGGUUUUCCCAGGCACCCUCCCUGCUCUGUCCCUGAAACUGCUUUUGCUUCUUUCUGCCAGUCCCACAGAGAGAGGGUCUGCUCUCUGCGGUUAUAUCCAAAUGUCAGGGGGUUUUAAAAAAUCUUUGUCACUGCUUUUUAAAAAUGUUAUGAUUUAAGUAUCAUUGGUUCCUUCUUGAAUCCUGGGACAACCCCCCCACCCCCACCCCGGGCCCCCGGGCCGGUUGCUUUUAUCUCCCUGCCCCCCAUGUGUGAGUCAGCAGAACUUACCUCGCCCUGCAGCCGUUAUUUCUUUCCUCACCUCCUUUUUCCAGUCCUUCUCUGAUUACACCAAACAAAUAAGAAUGACUUGUGGGUACUUGAGUUAAAAUUCUCAUGGUCAUGGGAAAAAUCAUCAGAAGGAAACUUUCUUGGUUCAGCUACGAUGUUCCACCCACAAAGAACUGCAAACUCAUUUGUCUUAAACAAGAGGAGAACUGGGUCACAGGAGGAGUCCAAAGGCAGAACAGCUGCAGGUCCAGAAGAGUCAGGGCCCAAGUUGCAAUUCUUAGCUUGGUCUUCCUUGAACUGUGGACUUUUGUCACAGACUAGCUCUCCUCAUGGUUCCAAGAAGGCUGCAGGAGUUCAGGUGUCAUAUCCAGAAGCAGAAAAAGGGCCAUCUCAUGCUUAUGUCCUUAGGAAUGGGGGAACCAUUUCAGGUGCACCCCCCAUUCUGGGUCCCAAUUGGCCAAGAUGCCAUGUGUCCACACCCUCACCAAUCCCUAGCAAGGAGAUGGGGCCACCAUGUCUGGCUGAGACACCUGGGGCUGGGGCCAGCAUCUCCUGAGCACAAAGCCACCCAGAGGAGAGGGUACCUGGGGGACCUCAUUGGGGCUCUGCGAGAAAGGGGUGGGAGGGAUGGGUACUGGGUGGACAGGACUAUUCUGUCACUUAGCGGGGACUUGGAUAUCAGUGUCUGAGGAGCAUACCUGACGCUCCUCCUGGGUGGUGGCUCUGUUGCCCAGAUGCUGGGCCUCUGAUGGUUCCCAGAAGCACUACUAGCUUGCUACAGCUGCUGGGUGGCUCUGAUUUCUAGAUUAAUCUCAGCAGUGAGUGAUGGCUUGAAACAAGAUUUUAAUUUCAUGCUAGAGAACUGAACCUGAGCAGGAAGGGAAUCGAGGUAAUGCCAGGGAAAGCUCACCAAAUUCAGGAGCCUCGGUGAAAGCCAAAAUACUAACCCCGUCUGCAGCACAACUUCACUUGUUAAUUAACUGCUCAUUUCACUCACUCUGAGGAACCACGCACAAGGGAAAGGAAAAACACGCGCCUGCAGAUUUGACCAAUCCCUUUCCACAGCCGCUAUCCCUUCCCGGAGUCUCAGAGGUUUGAGCACCUGCCAAUCUACCGCGAGGGCGGAGCUCUUGAUUGCUAUUGGGCACUAACGUCCUCCCAUAGCUUCCCCCAGCCCUCCAGCCCUCCUCGCUCCCAGGAGGGAAGUCCCGGCUGUCGGUGGCGUCCAACCAACAGUAACCGACAAAUGGCUUUGUCCAAUAAGGAGCGCGGAGUGGCCCGUCCCGCCCACAAGAGGCGUCUCCUCGCCGCUGCCGAGGCCGGAGAGGGCUGACCGGAGGCUCAGGCUGCGGUCGGGUGCCCCCCCCCCUCACCCCACCCCCGGGGCAAGCCCCCCGGGGCUCAAGUCCGGAGAACCGUCCCGCACCGAGUUGCCAGCCGCGUCCCCUGCUGGCGUCUUGGUUCCCGCAGCUUAGCAAACAGCAAAACCUGAGCCUCGCGCCGUGCUAGGCCCACGACACAAAAAGGACUCCUAGCCGGUCCCUGCACCCCAGGAGCCCGCCAUCUCCACCUUCCCCCAGCACUCCCCGAGGCUGCCCGUAGGCUCCCAGACCCCUGUCCUGCUGCCGGAAUCGCACACCCAGCCCCCACCCUUGUUUUGCACCGCGCCCAGGACGAAAUCCAGCAGAUCCUUCUGAGCAGGCAACUGCGCGCACCCAUGUUCUCACCACGGUGUCUUUGGUAUUGGGCUGGCCUUGGCGGAGGCGCCAGCGCCACCGAAAGCCUCACCUCUGCUUGCCCUUUCACACCACGCCGCAGGCACUCAGGCUGAGCUUUCCUGAGGCUGCAUUGAGUUAAGGUGGACUCCCACCCGGCCUGAGUGACCAAGUAGUUUCCAUUCCCACUCCCAAAUCCACCCCGCCGCUGCAGGUCCCACCAGCACCGAAGCUUUGGGCCUGCCGGCAGCCUGGGUCCUCUGCGAGUGAAAAAGAGAGCCAGGCUGGGUCGUCAGGCGUCACUGAACUGUUAGGUAACCAUGAGUCCGCAAUCAGAGUUUUUUGUAAAUUUCAGUUUUCCUCACCUCUUCAUGUACUCUUUCCUGAGCGCUCCAAAAGGGCACAGGUUUUAUUGACAGGCUGUCAGUCAUUUAGCUUCUUCAAAGGUUGAUCAUAUUCACCUCGGAACUGUGCUAGGUGGCGUCUUGGGGUCUCUUGUAAUCAGCUUCAAUGAUACUGCAAGCUCAGUUGCAGAAGGAGGCAGCUGGCAAGGGGAAUCAAAUUAAGAAAAUUGUUCCAGGAAGAAAAGGUUUAAUGAAGGAAAAGGGAGCAAGAGGGCAAAGCACAUAGGAUUCAAAUUUGAAUACCGAGUGGUGUGCACUGGCACAUUGAUCCUUUCAGGUAUUUAUCAAGCAUUUAUUAAGCCUGUCUUCAAGCAAAAACGCUCUGCUAGAUGAUGUAGUACAAAUGACUAGGUGAUAUGCAAGGCGAGAGGAAGGCUUGUCAACUUUGCUUUUUUUUUUUGCUUUUUAGGGCCGCACUUGUGGCACACGGAAGUUCUCAGACUAGGGGUCAAAUCGGAGCUGUAGCUGCCACAGCCACAGCAAUGCCAGAUUCAAGCCAUGUCUGUGACCUACACCACAGCUCAUAGCAAUGCUGGAUCCUUAACUCACUGAGCCAGACCAGGGAUCAAACCCUCAUCCUCGUGGGUACUAGUCAGGUCCACUACCACUGAGCCACGAUGGGAACUCCUCAUUAACUUUUUGGAGCCCCUGCUAAAUGAAAGGUGGAAACAACCCAAACAUCCAUCCGCUGAUGAAUGGACCCAUAAAAUGUGGUAAAUCCACUACGUGCCUUGCCAGCAUCCUCUUGCGAACCUUCAGUACACCUGUGUGAGGCACAUAAUGUCCUUUUACAGAAGAAAGCAAGAUUCAAAAAAUAUUGAGGAUCUAAUUUUACAAGAGUAAAGGAUCUUAACAGACUUUUCUCCAAAAAAGACAUAGACAUGGCCGUAAGCACACGAAAAGAUGCUCAGCAGGCAAAUCAAACCCACAUGCAAACACCACUUCAAGACCACCGGAAUGGCCGUAAUAAGAGACAGACAGUGACAAGUGUUAUGGCGAGAAUGUGGGACAGUUGGAACUGCCCCACACUCUUGAUGGGAAGGUACAGUGGUGCAGCUGCUUUGGAAAACAGGGGCGGGUGCUCCAAAUAUUGAACAAAGAAUCACCAUGUGGCUCAACAGUUCUACUCCUAGGUAUAUACCUGAGUGAAAUGAACACUAACCCCAAAAAAGAAAUGGUAAUUAUACGACGUGACAGAGGCGUUCGCUAAGGCAUGGUGGAGAUGACUCUGCAACAUAGGUGUGUUCAAUCAGCCCGCUGUACACCUUAAACAUACACAAUGUUAUAUGUCAACCAUAACUCAGGAAAGCUGGAGAAAAACAGGAGUGCCCUGGUGGCUCAGUUGGUUAAGGACCUGGUGUUGUCAUGGCUGUGGUUCGGGUCAUAUUUGUGAUUUAAGUUCAAUCCCUGGCCCGGAAACUUUUGCAUGCCUCAAGUGCAGCCAAAAAAAAAAAAAAAGCUGGAGAAAAACAACAUGUGUCCACAGAAAAACAUGUAAAUAAAUGUUCCUGGCAAUACGAUUGGUAAAAGCUGAAAGACGGAAACACCUGACACAUCCAUCGACGGGUGAAUAUUUUUCAGGAAUGAAGAGGAAUGAAGGAAUGAAGUAGGUAUAUGCUACAGCCCAGAUGAACCUUCAAAACAUUAUACUAGGUGAAAAAAGCCGGACACGAAGGACCACACGUUGUUUCUUUCCAUUUAUAUGUAAUGUCCUGAGUAGGCAAAUUUAUAGACACAGAAAGUAGAUGAGUGGCUGCCGAGGGCUGGAGGUUGGGUGGAGACGGGGGAAGAGGAGGGACGGCUAAUGGGUACAGGGCGUUUGCGGAAGGGAUGAAAGCAUAUUCAGAAUUGAUUGUGGUGAUGUGUGCGCACAAUUCGGCGAAUGUACUAAAAGCCGCUGGAUUGUCUGCUUUAAAUAGAUGAGUGGUCCCUGGUGGCCCAGCAGUUAAGGAUCCAGCAUUGUCACUGUCCGUGGCUUGGGCUUGAUCCUGGGCCCGGGAACUUUCGCAUGCCAUGGGUGAAGCCAAAAAAAAAAGCCCUUAAAUCAAUGAAUUGUAUGUGAAUUAUACUUCAAUAAAGCAGAUAUAGUUU
rnacentral:lncRNA from 1 species